rfam:Cavia porcellus supercont2_89 genomic scaffold, whole genome shotgun sequence.
GGGGAUUUAGCUCAGUGGCAUAAGCGCCUGCCUUGCGAGCAGGCAGCCAUGAGUUCAAUCCCCG